rnacentral:rRNA from 1 species
CGGGCGGAUGCUUACACAAUGCAAGUCGAACGGUCUCUUCGGAGAUAGUGGCGGACGGGUGAGUAACGCGUGAGAAUCUAGCUUCAGGUCGGGGACAACCACUGGAAACGGUGGCUAAUACCGGAUGUGCCGAAAGGUGAAAGAUUUAUUGCCUGAAGAUGAGCUCGCGUCUGAUUAGCUAGUUGGUGUGGUAAGAGCGCACCAAGGCGACGAUCAGUAGCUGGUCUGAGAGGAUGAUCAGCCACACUGGGACUGAGACACGGCCCAGACUCCUACGGGAGGCAGCAGUGGGGAAUUUUCCGCAAUGGGCGAAAGCCUGACGGAGCAAUACCGCGUGAGGGAGGAAGGCUCUUGGGUUGUAAACCUCUUUUCUCAGGGAAUAAAAAAAUGAAGGUACCUGAGGAAUAAGCAUCGGCUAACUCCGUGCCAGCAGCCGCGGUAAUACGGAGGAUGCAAGCGUUAUCCGGAAUGAUUGGGCGUAAAGCGUCCGCAGGUGGCACUGUAAGUCUGCUGUUAAAGAGCAAGGCUCAACCUUGUAAAGGCAGUGGAAACUACAGAGCUAGAGUACGUUCGGGGCAGAGGGAAUUCCUGGUGUAGCGGUGAAAUGCGUAGAAAUA